GUAACCAGUCAUCCAUAAUAUCAAAUAAAUCAUUUUCGUCUUUGGUAAACUUACCAAUGGCUAUAGUCAUAGUGAUCCUCCUAUUCAACUACUUCGACCAUUUCCGAGCACCUCAUAUCUUUUUCGGGGCGUCCCAAGAUCCGAUCAUUUUUGUCUGAUUUCUCUUGCACUGCCCUUCCCAAUGGGUUUCGAAGAUAAAAAUCCUUUAUUGAUUAGCCCAUAAACUGACCUAGGUAAAUCCAUGAACUCCAUUGGAUUAUUCCUUCUGACUAAGCAUAUGAACCAUGAAUUGUCUUAAUAAGAUAAUUCAAUCAAUCCCUUGUUUUGAAAGAACUCUUCAAGGACCAAACGGUCCCUUUCCUUCAUACUUCAUAUAAAUAAAUCGAAAACCCCAGAGUAUAUCUUUCCACGGAUCGAAGGAAAAAAGACAGUUCGAUCGAAUAUUGAUUUUUAGAUUCUUUUAUCUGUUAGAAAAAGAGAUAAUCUACUAUUUUUCCUUUUAGAAAAUCUAAAAUUCAAUAAAUAAAUAAAUAGGAGACUGGAAAUGAAAGUCUCUUUCUCGGAUCUAUUCUUCAUCACACUGGUGGAACAAAACAAAAAUACCGGAUGCAACGAUAUUGAAAUAUUUGGUACAUGAAGCCAUGAUCUGAUAGAUAUACAUCGAAAUCAAUCUACAAUCUACUUAAUAUAAUUAAUAUAUAAUAUAGAUGAAAUUAAUCUUUGAUCUAGAAUCAAAGAAAAAUAAUAAAUGGCUCUUAUGGUGUGCCUUGGAAGAAAGGUUUCUCUGUAGAGGAAAGGAAUAACAAAUUAUUCCGAUAAUUUUUCCUAUAGAAAAUCUAGUAACAAGAAGAUUUAAUCGGAAAUAUCGACAAAUUCUUGUGGAGUCCAAAACAAAAAAAUGAAAUAAAAAAAAUCAACUGCUCCAAUUUCAUCUCUAUCGAAUUUUAAUAUCAGAAUAGCGGAUAUAGUCAUGAUUCAAUAGGUCAGGUCCACUUACUUUUUACUUUUUCUUUUGUUGAUUUCUAACCUUUCGAAUCGAUUUGGUUGGUAUAAUGGAAAAUAGGAAUAUUCGGUGAUUCAAGAAGUGACUUUUCAUUAUUCCUAAAUUCAUACUAAUGAAAAUUGACUAAACAAAUGUUCAACUUUAUAACUAAGUAUAAUGAUAAUGUAUUAUCCAGUUAGUUACUUUUUUUAUUACAAAUAAAAAGAAAAUUCUCCCAUCAAAUAUGAAUACUAGAUUGGGGUUUUACAAAGCCCCUUAUCGGAUUUGAACCGAUGACUUACGCCUUACCAUGGCGUUACUCUACCACUGAGUUAAAAGGGCCUUUUUUAUUUAAUUCCGGAAUUAUUCACUAUGUGGAUAAAAUAUCUAUAUGUACUUAUAUUAUAAACAUAAGUAUAUAUGCAUUAAGUACGUGCAGUAGAUACAUAGUGUCUAGUGGCUCAUUGUUGAAUAAUAAAAUGGAUUUACCUAGGAAGUAUAGGAGAAAAUGCAAUGAAUUGUUUCAAGACCGACUCGAAUAGAAAUAAAUUCAAUUGAAAUAAUUAAAAAAAAAUACUACUACUAGAUUUCUAAUGUCGAUUCUAAUGAAUAAUUCGUCAAUGACGAAUAAAAAACAAUUCUAUGCAAUUCUGAAGGGGGGAAAGAUCCCUCGGCUAGAAUCAUUUGAUUAUAUUGACAAUUUUAAAAAACGGAUCAUACUAUCAUCAUAGUAUGAUGGCCGUUGGUCAAGCGGGCCCCCAUCGUCUAGUGGUUUAGGACAUCUCUCUUUCAAGGAGGCAGCGGGGAUUCGAAUUCCCCUGGGGGUAGGGUACUACGAAAGGAAAUUGAUCAUGGAUUACCAAUAAGUUGAAAAUUGAUUCUUCCUGGGUCGAUGCCCGAGCGGUUAAUGGGGACGGACUGUAAAUUCGUUGGCAAUAUGUCUACGCUGGUUCAAAUCCAGCUCGGCCCAAUAAUUCGCCAAUCCGCCAUGAGAUGAUAUAACUCCCUUUGUACUUCAGAAAUACCCGAUCCGGAGAUAAAAAAGAAUCAAAUUUUCUGCUAGAUCCCGUAUUUCCCUGGGAUUGUAGUUCAAUUGGUCAGAGCACCGCCCUGUCAAGGCGGAAGCUGCGGGUUCGAGCCCCGUCAGUCCCGACGGAUCCAAUAAAUAUAUCAAAAAAUCUCUCCCUUUUUCUGAAGGGGACCGGGGGAAGAAUUCCAUUGUCAAAGCAAAGGGGAAAUCCUUAUUUCUUUUUUCUUUCCUUUUGGUAGGAGAAAGACAUAUGCGGUUGGAUUAGUACAAUUAUUGGUAGCAUUAUAGUCAGUAUUCCAAGAAAUGCUGGCUUUUUCGAUUGCCCCCGAUGCAUGUAAUGGAAUCGAGUACUAUACUUUUUUGAGGCGCGCAUACACAAAAGGAAUUCCUUUGUUGUCCAAUACAAAAUUGAAUAUAAGAAAAUACUUUCCAGAAAAAACAAAAAAAAAAAAAAACAAUUUCUUUUUCUGGCUACGGAUUUAUGGAACCUGACUUACUAGUUUGAAGUUGCAAAAUAGAUUUCAUGCAAAUUGCACACUGAGCUUUUGGUAUAGGUGUCCCGGGGCUAAUAAUCGACGAAGAAAGGAGGGGGAAGGACAGAUCAACCAAAGAUCCUACUCCUCUUAGAAAGGCGAAUGAAUCAUUUUUCCUAUUUUUCAUUUUGUUUUAAGGCCCCAUCGACGAACGAACAAAUCGGAAAAUAGUCAAUUUGAUGAAUAUUCAUUUUAUACGGUCUCAUCUUUAUCACACUUCUUUGUCUUCCAAGUCAAAAAUAGUUUCGUUCUAAACUCCUUUCUUUUUCCAUUUAGCUUUUAUUGUUUGUUUGGGUUUGUAACUAUGUGACCACUGGAAGUGGAAGAGCUAUUUGAUGAGACUUCAUCAGAUGAUUGUACAAGAAGGAACUAGAUAGAUUAGAGAGAAAAAAAGAACAGAUAAUAAAAAAUGAUAAAUAAAUAAAGGAAUUUUGGGUUAGGUCAGCAAUCCGAGUUUGGGGCGGUAUGGAUAAAAGAACUUCCUAUGUUAUACUAUUCAAUUCUCGACGACGAAUUUAUUUGAUAGUUCAGAUAUUGUUAUUCAUGAUAUUGAUCUGAUUCAAGAUCAUCGAGAGGUAAUAUUCAUUCAUUGAAUUUACAGGCCAAAGAUUUAUCAUCUCUAUGGGAUUAAAUCCCGAGUUAUUGCGAAGUAAAAAACCGAUGAGAUUAUGGAAGUAAAUAUUCUUGCAUUUAUUGCUACUGCACUAUUUAUUCUAGUUCCUACCGCUUUUCUACUUAUCAUUUAUGUAAAAACAGUCAGUCAAAACGAUUAAUUAUUAACUAAUUUGAAUGAAACUUGACUUCUGAGUUCUUAGCCAAAAUUGACGAAAUAAAAUGAAAAAGAUUCCAAUUUCAUGUCUUAAAUGAAAUGAGUGGACUAGAAUCGGCAGUAUUCUAAUAGAUAGAUAGUAUGGUAGAAAGAUUCAUCUAUUUCUUUCUACCAUACUAUUUAUUAGUUAGAUUCUUGUUAUAAAGCUGCCCCCUGGAAUAAAAUAAAGAUAGAGGCUGCAUUUGAUAUGGAUCUAUAUAUCAAUCUACAAUAUUAUCUUGAUAUAUGUGAAUAUCAAUUCCAUAUAUGGGAUUGACAUAGCAUCCAAUUCCAUUUAUUUGCUAUAUCUAUUUGUUCUGAUCAAUCUGAAUUACUCCUAUGUCUUAUAGUUUGAAUUACUAUAUUUUUGAUUUCCAAUAUGAAUCUCAGUAUCUAUUGAGAGAAUCAAAUCAAUGAAGCAAAAGCGAUAGAUAUAGGCAUAUUCAAAAAAUCACGUAGUAAUCUUUUUUUUUUUAACAUUCCUAAGAAGUAAACCAUUGACAGUAGUUCCACGGGCAUCGAAAAGGAAGAGUAAACCUCACUGAUUUUUAAGGCCUGAACCAUGAUAUGAAAUAAGUCGAUAAAGUCUAAAUCCAAUUUCCAAAAUUCGAAAGGUAAAUGCGCAAUAUGUGACUCACCUGACGAUCUUAUUCUAAAUAGUAUCUCGUUAGACAACCACUAUGUUUAUAUCCUUUCUUUCUCAUACAAAGUGCGUAUACACUUAACAAAACCACUUUUUCUUUGAACAGUAAAGAGAGAACCAAAUAAAAAACGGGUCCGGCCCUCCUCAGUAUCACCUAGGAAGAGGCCAUUGAUUGGAAUAGAAAAUUUAGUAAGAAUUAGGUUCGAAUAAAUUUCCUGGGAUCCUUUUCCUUUCGAACUACAAACAUGGGAAUCGUUGAAAUAGCUCUUUGAUUGAAAGAGGCUGAUUCCUAUAAUACAUUACUCCAGUCGAGUCCAAUGGAAUUUCAAAAUGAAGAUAUUUUUAUUUUGUUCCAAACGUGUUGCAGAACCAUCUAGAAAGCAAUUGAUAAUGAUACAGUUUGCUUCCUUAACUCAAUUAGCAGAACCCCUAGAGUCCACUCCUUCCCCACACUACGAGUGAAAGGGAAAAAGUAAAGACUACCAUUAAAGCAGCCCAAGCAAGACUUACUAUAUCCAUAUGAAUUAUGUCCCCUAUCUCUAUAAAUAUAAAGGAAUUGUUCCAUUAUUCCUCACUAAUAAUAGUAGAAUCAAUGGCGCAGAGUCAAAAAGAACGAAGACUAUUAAUAAACCAAUCCAAUAAAUUCGCUCAUUUUAUAAGAAAUUUCUAUAUGAUUUAUAAUCGGGAAAGAUUAAACCCAAGCAAAAUCCGCAGUAACAUCUCAAGGGAAUGUUACUAAUGGAACAUGUAGGAAUAAUAGGUCCUAUUCUUUUUUUGUUGACCCUCAUUUGAAUUGAUUGGAUGCUUGAGCACUGAGAUAUUUUCGUGAGUUCCUCGUAUAUAAUAAAGUAUCUUCCGCCCCCUUCCACAACUAUUUCGAUUUCCUAUCGGGCUCUCCAAGGUCCAGUCAUUAUACAAUGGAUUAAUAAUAGAAAAUUUUGAUUUGUAGUAGAAGGUAAUUGCGAAGUCUUGAUAGCCCCUCGAGCAUUCGAAUAUUUACUUGA
rnacentral:lncRNA from 1 species